AAGUCGUAACAAGGUUUCCGUAGGUGAACCUGCGGAAGGAUCAUUAACGAGUUAUUGAACAGGUUGUAAGCUGACCUCUUAUCAGAGGUAUGUGCACGCCUGGCUCAUCCACUCUCCAACCUCCUGUGCACCUGUUGUAGGUUGGUGGAAGGGCAAGUCUGAUUGACAUUAUUUGUUGGUUGAACUUUGCUUGGAAGCCUUCCUAUGUCUUUUUUUCACAAACGCUUCAGUUUAAGAAUGUGUCUUUGCAUAUAAUGCAUUUAUAUAUACAACUUUCAGCAACGGAUCUCUUGGCUCUC
rnacentral:misc_RNA from 1 species